AUUGAACGCUGGCGGCAUGCCUUACACAUGCAAGUCGAACGGUAACAGGCCGCAAGGUGCUGACGAGUGGCGAACGGGUGAGUAAUACAUCGGAACGUGCCCAGUCGUGGGGGAUAACGCAGCGAAAGCUGCGCUAAUACCGCAUACGAUCUCUGGAUGAAAGCGGGGGACCGAAAGGCCUCGCGCGAUUGGAGCGGCCGAUGUCAGAUUAGGUAGUUGGUGGGGUAAAGGCCCACCAAGCCAACGAUCUGUAGCUGGUCUGAGAGGACGACCAGCCACACUGGGACUGAGACACGGCCCAGACUCCUACGGGAGGCAGCAGUGGGGAAUUUUGGACAAUGGGCGCAAGCCUGAUCCAGCAAUGCCGCGUGCAGGAAGAAGGCCUUCGGGUUGUAAACUGCUUUUGUACGGAACGAAACGGUCCGGGUUAAUACCCUGGGCUAAUGACGGUACCGUAAGAAUAAGCACCGGCUAACUACGUGCCAGCCGCCGCAGUAAUAC
rnacentral:rRNA from 1 species